GUCCCGACAGGGAAAUCGAAUACAGCUGGAGGAAUGUCCUUGAAACUCUGUGAAGAGAAAGAGUGGAGGAGAGGAGGGUGUAUGAGAGAGAUGAACAGAUGCAAUCAAAGACUCUCAUUCACUUUGAGAAAAAGCUUCCAUUUGAUGUAUCACUCUGUCCAAUACAGUGCUUUAACUCCAGCUGAACUCAGAGGUGAGGUACUGGUCAUGGCAUCCCAGAGGAUCACAGUGCCGAGACUGUCAGAGAGAAAGAAUCAGAGCUCCUCAAGAAAUGCUGGCGGACAUGGCAGAAGCCAAGCGUGAGUUGGCUUGGGGGUGCGGUUUGAUGUGGGUGUUUCUUAUGAGUGUCUUUGCCACUGCUGCCAAGACACACCCAUUUGUCAGAACCUUGCCCGCAGCUGUUUCCCUCCCACUCAAUCACAAGAUACAAAC
rnacentral:lncRNA from 1 species